GCGAUAUCUUGCGAAACGCGGCAAGGGACCUGUAAUGAGAUCUGCUGAGUAAUAUGCGCAAUAAUGUCUUGCCGUUCCUGGGGGCGCCCCGCUCUGCGGAGAGGCGCGAGGGAGCUGCUGCGGGGAACGUGCUGAAGCAUCGUCCUCUUUUAACAAACGUUGCUGCUGUGACACUUUUUUCUGAAAGCAGGAGGCUGGGCUUCUGUGUCUCAACAGCGGAUGGGAAAAAUCUGGAGGAGCUUCCAUUAGUGGACAUCAGCAACAGAUAUUGGCUCUGCUGAAGAUACUGUGAACUCUUUCGCAGCUAGUACAGACAGCUUGUGUUUUAACGGCUACGAGGAGAUGGCAGGCCUAGCUUGAACAAAGCCAUAUGUCGUACUCACAAGGGAGAAGAAGUUCAGUUUGAGUCUGGAAGCCUCUGACAAUGUGGAGAAAAUUGACCUCCAGAGGGCAAGUGCUUCUGUGACCAGCCUGCAGUGAGAGUUAAACAACUGAACACCUGGAAGAGGAAAGUAAGGAGGAAAAUCAAACCUCAGCAUUGCUCUCCUCCUAGGAACUUUGGCAGUUUUGCAGCUCAGAACGACACCAACUUCACAUGAUGAGUGACAAAUACUGGGGCGAGCCGGCUCUGCCAGGGAAACUUCAAAAUGAGCCGAGCAAACACCGGGAGCUUUCUUCAAUCUGUCUCUCUUGGCCUAUUUCACUCAAACACAGUUGGAAGAUUCACUGGAUUUUCCUUCACAGUUGUGACAUGCUUUUCAUUCCUACAAAGCCGUGAAGCUUCAUGAAACCUGGAGGAAAGCAGUGACAUCAUCUAUUUUAUCAAAUUUGGUUAAAUCCAGUGAAAGACUUCAAAAAGGAAGACAAGAAGACUGCGGGAGGGAGAGUGAGCUGCCUGUGCAACUGUGAAUAUCUCUAUUUCCUAGGAAGCAGCCUAAAAAAAAAUAUCAGUUCUUCAAUUAGGAUAUUGAUCUUCUUGAAGUGAAGUUGCCGUUGUUAACAGUAUAAUUGAAAAUUGGAUGUUUGUGAGACGAAACAGUGAAAACAGGUGCACUUUCCAAUAGGGAGGUCCAUAAGAGAAAUCGCUCUCCUUCCAGUCUGCGGGUGACUAGUGCCGACCACAAGAGAUCAGCAAUCUGCAAGCAAGAGUUGAGGAGGAAAAGGUCACAUAUCAUACAACAGGCUGAACAUGCCCUCCUUUAAGGACUGGCUUUGUAAGGAAUCAGUGUUUCCACUUUACUGAGCCUAGAAAAUCCCUCACUAACCAGGAAUCCCUCACUAUGGAGUUGAUACUGUCUGAGGAUGCUGCACUUAGGUCUGCAGAUGAUCUGAGCAGUCAAGAGGAGAUGCCCAGCAAGGACCGACCUCCUUUGUACAGCAUAAAAGCACCAGGGCAAAGGAAAAGGGCUUCAAUAACCGCAGUGCUGCCCUGGGAGGACAAGGUAUCCCUACCCCUCAUCUUGGUCCCUGCACCUCCUGGGCUGCGAGUUUCUGCUGCAUAGCACAAAGUCCACAAUUCUGGAUUAUUUAAGGCCCUGAACCUGUUACGGUCUAUGAGAGGGGACAGUGGUACCGCCACCGCGUCCGGUGCGAGCAGCCGCUCCUAUCUCCCUUCAGGUUGCCUGCCGGGUUUAACUGCGAGGGACUGGUGGUGCUGCUGGUUUCAGCGAAGGCUGCGUGUGUGCUUGCUAUGGGACAGGCUGUGCAGCCAAUGUGGAAGCAAUGUUAGACACAUAAUGUGUGUACUAGCUUUUAAGCACAAAUAUGAAACUGUAUUUGUGGCGUUUGUAGGGCUUUAUAUCUGGCUUGGAGGUACUGGGUAUAUGGUAUUUCUAAUUUGUCUUGCAUCUAUUGGCUAAAUCAAAGGAAUUGACAUUUAAAUUGUUUCGGGUCUUGGGUAAGUUCUAUUUUACCAGGUGAUGUCAAGAUAAACAUUUGAUUCGUUCACAGAGGAUGAGAGAUUCAGACAGAAGAGAAAAGUGAGCAGCUGCAAAGUAUUUUCCACGGAGUUUCUAUUUCUUAUUUUCCUUCUCUGCCUAAAAAUUCCCAUCAGGUUUUUCCUGUGUGAUCUGUGCAUCCACGUCUCUGGGCCUUGCAGUAAGGAUAAACGGUCAGUGCCAAGAGAUAGCUAAUCACCUUCAUGUUACUUUAAUAGCACGCUUUUGGGUUUAGCCAUUUACGGUCAUCAGAAGAUAGAUGGAAAGGAGACCAGGAGUCCUGGGCAUAUCUGACCCUCUUCCACGGACACAACGGGAUAAAACAUUGCUGGCUGUUUUUGUAAAAAUGGCUGAAGGAUGAGUCUGUGGGCUAAUCUAAACCCUGAUGUCUUUAAAAAUUGUUCCCUAGUGGGUAUAAAUCUCUCUUAAUGAUCUCAUGUGGGUUUUAUUGUCAAAGCAUUUAUUUGCUCACUCAUAAAUUAGCCAGAGGUGUAGCUUGCUGCCGGAGCUUUGGACGACGUGGCUGCCGGUCCUUUGCCUUGCUGAAAAGACUCGAGGCUCGUGCAGGUGUUCAGGUUGCUCUGGCUUUGUCGGGGGAAGCUCUUGCAGUGUUAGUCCAAGCUUUUAAGGAAUUUAUCUUACUUUCCAAUAAAGCAAGACAUGUCCAAAACUUACUUCUCCCUGGACAGUGUGACCAGCACUGCAGAGCUGUUUGGAAAUCUGAAUUGAUUUUCAUGGGGGUGCAGUGUCCAAAUGGGGACCUGGCUCUAAAUGUCUGCAGAUCACUUAGGUUAGAUCUUCAGUGUACAGGAGUUUUUGCUUAAGUAUUUCUUUAUUUUGUACUUUGCUUUUAAAAAAUGGCCUAUAGAAGUCCAUUGCUUUGAUAUAUUUUCU